GAGGGUAUAGCUCAAGUGGCAGAGUGCGUGCUUAGCAUGUAGGAGAUCCUGGGUUCAGUCCCCAGUACUUCCU
rnacentral:tRNA from 1 species